UGCCCUGUUUCUCCUAGGCUGUAGCGCUGUCCAAUCGCAGCGCAGCGCUCACAGCCUGGGAGGUUUAUUUUUCUCCCUGGGGAGUUCCUACAGAAUCAAGGGGUUACCGACCUGCUCGCCAAGAGUAAAAAUCUAAUCAGGCCUUUUGAUAAAAGUGUCAAAUGGCCCGGAGGCGCUGAGUGCAAUCACUAACAGGUCAUUUAAAGGGGUUUCCAAGGAGGUGCAUUUAUAUAUAUAUAAAAAAAAAAAAGCUGCAAAGGACUACAGAAAAAAAAACAAUACUUACUCUCACCUUUCCACUGUAAAAGGGGUACAUGGCCAUUGUCUGUGAAUGGUCA